rnacentral:tRNA from 1 species
GAGGGUAUAGCUCAGAGGUAGAGCGCUUGCCUAGCAUGCAUGAGGUCUUGAGUUCAAUCCCCAGUAACUCUG